rnacentral:rRNA from 1 species
GUGGCCAGCAGCCGCGGUAAUACCGGCAGCACGAGUGAUGGCCGCUAUUAUUGGGCCUAAAGCGUCCGUAGCCGGCCGAUCAAGUUCGUCGGGAAAUCUGCCCGCUUAACGGGCAGGCGUCCGGCGAAAACUGAUUGGCUUGGGGCCAGAAGACCUGAGGGGUACGUCCGGGGUAGGAGUGAAAUCCCGUAAUCCUGGACGGACCACCGGUGGCGAAAGCGCCUCAGGAAGAUGGACCCGACGGUGAGGGACGAAAGCUAGGGUCUCGAACCGGAUUAGAUACCCGAGUAGUCC